rnacentral:rRNA from 1 species
UUGAAAGGGAAACGAUUGAAGUCAGUCGUGCUGGCGCGAAAUCAACCUUCUCGUCUUGAGAUCACAUGGCGUGGCGAGCCUCAAAACCGUCACGAAGCGUGAACUCUUGGUGAAAUGGAGCACUUUCGUGUCCGCUGGUUAACAUCAAUUUCGAACGUCAUAAAAAGGCUGGAGGGAUGUGGCUCCUUCGGGAGUGUUAUAACCUUUAGCGGAAUGUGGUGUUCGGGAUUGAGGAUUGCAACGAAUACCUUUAGGGCUGUUCCACCUGGCUUCUCUUUGGUAUCCUGGUGAUGACAGCUUGCUGACGUCGUUAGGAUUCGCCUUUGAACAGGCUAGAGUGUGAGCAAAUUCGUUAAGGAUGUUGACGUA